rnacentral:rRNA from 1 species
AGAUUGAACGCUGGCGGCAGGCCUAACACAUGCAAGUCGAGCGGCAGCACGGGUACUUGUACCUGGUGGCGAGCGGCGGACGGGUGAGUAAUGCCUAGGAAUCUGCCUGAUAGUGGGGGAUAACGUUCGGAAACGACGCUAAUACCGCAUACGUCCUACGGGAGAAAGUGGGGGAUCUUCGGACCUCACGCUAUCAGUAUGAGCCUAGGUCGAUUAGCUAGUGUAGGGUAAAGCCUACGAAGGCUACGAUCCGUAACUGGUACUGAGAGGAUGGACUCAGUCACACGUGGAACUGAGACACGGUCCAAGACCUCCGUACGGGAGGCAGGACGAGUACGGGGAAUAGUU